AGGGAUGUGGCUCAGUGGUAGAGCACUUGCCUAGCACAAGCCAGACCCUGGGUUCCAUCCCCUGUAUCGCAA
rfam:Ictidomys tridecemlineatus contig073369, whole genome shotgun sequence.